UACGUAGGGCGCAAGCGUUGUCCGGAAUUAUUGGGCGUAAAGAGCUCGUAGGCGGCUUGUCGCGUCGAAUGUGAAAACUCGGGGCGUCAACUCCGAGCUUGCAUUCGAUACGGGCAGGCUAGAGUUCGGUAGGGGAGACUGGAAUUCCUGGUGUAGCGGUGAAAUGCGCAGAUAUCAGGAGGAACACCGGUGGCGAAGGCGGGUCUCUGGGCCGAUACUGACGCUGAGGAGCGAAAGCGUGGGGAGCGAACAGG
rnacentral:rRNA from 1 species